rnacentral:misc_RNA from 1 species
AGGCCAAAGAAGAAGAUCAAGUAGGUGUUUAGCAGACGGUGUAUUGCAGUUAUACCUCCAGUCUGUGGUCUUACAAUUUUUUGUCCUGCUUCAACUUGCUGUAAUGGAUAGUCUAGCAUUUUCUUGAACCGAAAGUUUGUUGUUAAAAGAUAUCACUAUGCAUCCAAUCUAUGACUAUUUCGAUGAAGUUUUUCAUGUUAUCCUGACAAGUACAAGCCUACACUAUCAU